GAGAGCUUGCUCUCUGGGUGGCGAGUGGCGGACGGGUGAGGAAUACAUCGGAAUCUACUUUUUCGUGGGGGAUAACGUAGGGAAACUUACGCUAAUACCGCAUACGACCUACGGGUGAAAGCAGGGGAUCUUCGGACCUUGCGCGAUUGAAUGAGCCGAUGUCGGAUUAGCUAGUUGGCGGGGUAAAGGCCCACCAAGGCGACGAUCCGUAGCUGGUCUGAGAGGAUGAUCAGCCACACUGGAACUGAGACACGGUCCAGACUCCUACGGGAGGCAGCAGUGGGGAAUAUUGGACAAUGGGCGCAAGCCUGAUCCAGCCAUACCGCGUGGGUGAAGAAGGCCUUCGGGUUGUAAAGCCCUUUUGUUGGGAAAGAAAUCCAGCUGGUUAAUACCCGGUUGGGAUGACGGUACCCAAAGAAUAAGCACCGGCUAACUUCGUGCCAGCAGCCGCGGUAAUACGAAGGGUGCAAGCGUUACUCGGAAUUACUGGGCGUAAAGCGUGCGUAGGUGGUCGUUUAAAGUCCGUUGUGAAAGCCCCUGGGCUCAACCUGGGAACUGCAGUGGAUACUGGGCGACUAGAAUGUGGUAGAGGGUAGCGGAAUUCCUGGUGUAGCAGUGAAAUGCGUAGAGAUCAGGAGGAACAUCCAUGGCGAAGGCAGCUACCUGGACCAACAUUGACACUGAGGC
rnacentral:rRNA from 1 species